rnacentral:tRNA from 1 species
UAGGAUAAUAGUUAAAUUAACAUUAAAUUUGCAAUUUAAAAAUACUGAAAAGUUUAUCU